CUUUCAACCCACCUCUAGCCGGGAUGGUUGUUGAAAC
rfam:Nostoc sp. PCC 7107, complete genome.